rnacentral:rRNA from 1 species
GUGAGGAAUUUUCCGCAAUGGGCGAAAGCCUGACGGAGCAAUGCCGCGUGAAGGAUGAAGGCCUAUGGGUUGUAAACUUCUUUUCUCAGAAAAGAAUUAUGACGGUAUCUGAGGAAUAAGCAUCGGCUAACUCUGUGCCAGCAGCCGCGGUAAGACAGAGGAUGCAAGCGUUAUCCGGAAUAAUUGGGCGUAAAGCGUCUGUAGGUUGUUUAAAAAGUAUUCUGUCAAAGAUUAGGGCUUAACCCUAGAUAGGCAGAAUAAACUUUUAAGCUAGAGUUUGGUAGAGGCAGAGGGAAUUCCCGGUGGAGCGGUGAAAUGCGUAGAUAUCGGGAGGAACACCAAAGGCGAAGGCACUCUGCUGGGCCAAUACUAACACUGAGAGACGAAAGCGAGGGGAGCAAAUGGGAUUAGAUACCCCAGUAGUCC